AUGGCCAUGGUGCUGGACGCCUUUGCGUCCUACAUCGCCGACACGAUCAAGCAGAUGGCGGCGGACGAGGUGGGGAUGCUGCUCGAUGUCACCGGCGAGAUCAACAGCCUGCAGGACAAGCUGGAGAGCCUGAGGGACUACCUCGCCGACGCCGACAGGAAGCGCAUCACCGACCGGAGGGUGCAGGGGUGGGUCACUAAGCUCAAGGGUGUCAUGUACAAGGGGACCAACAUCCUCGACCUCUGCGAGCUCAAUGCCAUGGGUCGGCGGGACGCAGCACCCGCAUCCUACUGCAACCCGCUGCUCUUCUGCUUGCGGCACCCCAGGUUCGCCCAUGACAUUGGCCGCCGCAUCAGGAAGCUCAACAAGAGGUUGGACGACAUCUGCAAAUUGGGUGCUGCCUUCAGCUUCAUCAAGCUAGAGACCUACCAGGACUACAGGACCGGCCGACCUUCUGUGGCUGACCGGAAGACGUAUCCGGUGUUGGAAUGCUCGGCAUCGUCGGUGAGAAGAUUGAAGAGGAUAGAAGAGCACUGGUUGAGGAGUUGA
rnacentral:rRNA from 1 species